ACAUCUCGUUCUAGAAAAAUACCCCGUACGGAAGCCCACCAUACAAAUACUCCCCUACUUGUCCUCCAGUGGUCUGCAAGCCCCUCCCUUGCACCGGGGUUCCCGCUCGUGCAGAGCCCAAGGCGAGCCGCCGAGGUCACGUUAAGUUCAGAGCCACGGAUCCAGGUCAGAUCGGAUAAAAAAGAUUUGUAGUCCGGCCCGGAGCUGCUGUCUGGGGCUCAGCCCCGCACCUACUCAAAAUCCUUCCCAGAACGUAGCAGUUGAUGGUUACUGGACUUCGCGCAAACUGGACGCCGCGCCUGAAGGGCCGGCGGGGUCACUGGCUGGCCUUCGCUGGGGUGGACAGGUCCUUACUGUUGCAAACCGAGACGUGAAUGGAGCCCUCAUGCUCCACCACCCCCGCGGCCCGGAAUAACUCCAGGGCUCUCUGGUUUGGAGGGUCAUGGGGUCGGGCGGGCCAGGGCUCCCAGGACCCCCGGGGUCCCGGCCGGGCCUCGCACUGAGGGGCGCGGGGCAGCGGGGACGGCGUCGCGCGCGGAGCCGGGGUCACAGAGCAGCGGCGGCCGAGGGCAGCCCACGCGGGCUCCGGCGCCGCGGCAAAGUCGGAGGCGCUUCCUAGCUCGGCCUGGAGUGAGAGGCGCGCAGGGGGAACCGCUUCUCGAACUUCGAGGCGCAGGCCAGUCUGGAGGGGAGGAGAAAGAGGGGCGGAGAGGCGCUCUCUGUUCCCACGGGUCCGGAGGGUCAAGGAAUCUUUUUAUUCCAAUGAAACUGUAAUGGGAGGCUGACGUAUAAAGAACUGCUGUGGUUGAAGAAAAGGAUGGGUGAGGAAGAGGCAAGGCUACAGUCAAAAGACUUCUGUCUAUGAGCCAAAAAGCUGACCUACACCAGACACUGACUCUGCUGGCACCAAGACCUUGAACUUCCCAGUCUCCAAAACAGUGAGAAAUACAUUUCUUGUGUUUAUAAUUACCCAGCAUUUGGUAUGCUGCUGUGUCAGUCCCAAAUG
ensembl:lncRNA